UACGAAGGGGGCUAGCGUUGCUCGGAAUUACUGGGCGUAAAGCGCGCGUAGGCGGUUCGUCACGUCGGGAGUGAAAACUCGGGGCUUAACCCCGAGCCUGCUUCCGAUACGGGCAGACUAGAGGUAGGCAGGGGAGAGCGGAACUCCUGGUGUAGCGGUGGAAUGCGCAGAUAUCAGGAAGAACACCGAUGGCGAAGGCAGGUCACUGGGCCGCAACUGACGCUGAGGAGCGAAAGCGUGGGGAGCAAACAGG
rnacentral:rRNA from 1 species